rnacentral:rRNA from 1 species
GACGAACGCUGGCGGCGUGCUUAACACAUGCAAGUCGAACGGAAAGGCCCCGCCUUUGUGGGGUGCUCGAGUGGCGAACGGGUGAGUAACACGUGAGUAACCUGCCCCUGACUCUGGGAUAACUUCUGGAAACUGGGGCUAAUACCGGAUACGAGAUCCUGCCGCAUGGUCGCUGUUGGAAAGUUUCGGCGGUUGGGGAUGGGCUCGCGGCCUAUCAGCUUGUUGGUGGGGUAGUGGCUUACCAAGGCUUUGACGGGUAGCCGGCCUGAGAGGGUGACCGGCCACAUUGGGACUGAGAUACGGCCCAGACUCCUACGGGAGGCAGCAGUGGGGAAUAUUGCACAAUGGGCGGAAGCCUGAUGCAGCAACGCCGCGUGAGGGAUGACGGCCUUCGGGUUGUAAACCGCUUUCGGCUGUGAAGAAGCGAGAGUGACGGUAAUUGGAGAAGAAGCACCGGCUAACUACGUG